rnacentral:rRNA from 1 species
AGUGGCGGACGGGUGAGUAACGCGUGGGUAACCUGCCUUAUACAGGGGGAUAACAGUCAGAAAUGACUGCUAAUACCGCAUAAGCGCACAGGACCGCAUGGUCCGGUGUGAAAAACUCCGGUGGUAUAAGAUGGACCCGCGUUGGAUUAGCUAGUUGGUAAGGUAAUGGCUUACCAAGGCGACGAUCAGUAGCCGACCUGAGAGGGUGAUCGGCCACAUUGGAACUGAGACACGGUCCAAACUCCUACGGGAGGCAGCAGUGGGGAAUAUUGCACAAUGGGCGAAAGCCUGAUGCAGCAACGCCGCGUGAGCGAUGAAGGCCUUCGGGUCGUAAAGCUCUGUCCUCAAGGAAGAUAAUGACGGUACUUGAGGAGGAAGCCCCGGCUAACUACGUGCCAGCAGCCGCGGUAAUACGUAGGUGGCGAGCGUUAUCCGGAAUUAUUGGGCGUAAAGAGCGCGCAGGUGGUUGAUUAAGUCUGAUGUGAAAGCCCACGGCUUAACCGUGGAGGGUCAUUGGAAACUGGUCAACUUGAGUGCAGAAGAGGGAAGUGGAAUUCCAUGUGUAGCGGUGAAAUGCGUAGAGAUAUGGAGGAACACCAGUGGCGAAGGCGGCUUCCUGGUCUGUAACUGACACUGAGGCGCGAAAGCGUGGGGAGCAAACAGGAUUAGAUACCCUGGUAGUCCACGCCGUAAACGAUGAGUGCUAAGUUUUUGGGGUCGACCCUCAAUGCUGAAGUUAAAGCAUUAAGCACUCCGCCUGGGGAGUACGGUCGCAAGACUGAAUCUCAUAGGAAUUGACGGGGACCCGCACAAGCGGUGGAGCAUGUGGUUUAAUUCGAAGCAACGCGAAGAACCUUACCAGGUCUUGACAUACCAGUGACCGUCCUAGAGAUAGGAUUUUCCCUUCGGGGACAAUGGAUACAGGUGGUGCAUGGUUGUCGUCAGCUCGUGUCGUGAGAUGUUGGGUUAAGUCCCGCAACGAGCG